GUGAAUCAUCGAAUUUUUGAACGCAAAUUGCACUCUCUUGGGAGAGUAUGCCUGUUUGAGGGUGAGCCUAAAAACAAUCGACAUCGUUGCUGUUUCGCGGUGGCGUUCGGCGGAACUUGGGUUAUCUUAAAUCUUUGGUUUACGCGACUUAAAAUUUUCUUUACAAUUACAUGACCGUUUCCAAGAUAUA
rnacentral:misc_RNA from 1 species